CUAACGCUAGUGGCGUGUCUUAGUCAUGCGAGUCGCACGAGAAAGCUCUCUUCGGAGAGUGAGUAGAGUGGCGAACGGGUGAGUAAUACGUGGGUAACCUACCUCCGAGUUGGGGAUAACAUUCCUAACGGGGUGCUAAUACCGAAUAACAAGCCGAGUCUUCGGUCUUGUCUUCAAAGAUGGCCUCUGCUUGCAUGCUGUCGCUUGGAGAUGGGCCCACGUCCUAUUAGCUAGUUGGUGGGGUAAUGGCCUACCAAGGCUUUGAUGGGUAGCCGGCCUGAGAGGGUGAUCGGCCACACUGGAACUGAGACAAGGUCCAGUCCCCUACGGGGGCCAGCAGUCUAGAAACUUGCACAAUCGUCGAAAGACGGAUGCAGCGACGCCACGUGGAGGAUGAAGCCCCUCGGGGUGUAAACUCCUGUCAGGAGGGAAGAACGCGCGAGGAUGAAUAGUUCUCGUUGCUUGACGGUACCUCCAGAGGAAGCUCCGGCUAACUGC
rnacentral:rRNA from 1 species